rnacentral:rRNA from 1 species
GAUGAACGCUGACAGAAUGCUUAACACAUGCAAGUCAACUUGAAUUUGGGUUUUUAACUUAGAUUUGGGUGGCGGACGGGUGAGUAACGCGUAAAGAACUUGCCUCACAGCUAGGGACAACAUUUAGAAAUGAAUGCUAAUACCUGAUAUUAUGAUUUUAAGGCAUCUUAGAAUUAUGAAAGCUAUAAGCACUGUGAGAGAGCUUUGCGUCCCAUUAGCUAGUUGGAGAGGUAACAGCUCACCAAGGCGAUGAUGGGUAGCCGGCCUGAGAGGGUGAACGGCCACAAGGGGACUGAGACACGGCCCUUACUCCUACGGGAGGCAGCAGUGGGGAAUAUUGGACAAUGGACCGAGAGUCUGAUCCAGCAAUUCUGUGUGCACGAUGAAGUUUUUCGGAAUGUAAAGUGCUUUCAGUUGGGAAGAAAGAAAUGACGGUACCAACAGAAGAAGUGACGGCUAAAUACGUGCCAGCAGCCGCGGUAAUACGUAUGUCACGAGCGUUAUCCGGAUUUAUUGGGCGUAAAGCGCGUCUAGGUGGUUAUGUAAGUCUGAUGUGAAAAUGCAGGGCUCAACUCUGUAUUGCGUUGGAAACUGUAUAACUAGAGUACUGGAGAGGUAAGCGGAGCUACAAGUGUAGAGGUGAAAUUCGUAGAUAUUUGUAGGAAUGCCGAUGGGGAAGCCAGCUUACUGGACAGAUACUGACGCUAAAGCGCGAAAGCGUGGGUAGCAAACAGG